ACACAGAGCAACUUUCAGUCCUGGAAACUCUAUUCAUGGAUUCUGGAGGAUGGGAAGUCCAAGACUGAGGCAUCAGCAGAUCAAGCCUCAGGACCCUCUUUUGUUGAGCUACUGCGGUUUGCUGGGCGUUCACUUCGGGCCCUGUUCAUCUGGGUCACUCCAGCACCCGGAGAGGCCCCUCCAGGAGUCUGGAGAACAGCAAAGAUAAUAAUAAACAAGAAAUUUCUCUAAGAGGAGAGAAAGGAGAGAGAUCAUGGCAGAUGGGACAGAGUCCUCAUAAAGAUUUGCUGAAUUGCAACAUUAUGGGAGGUGCAAGUCACAUUGUCGGAAGAACAAGUCGC